ACGUUUGGUCAGUGUUCUGUCAAAACAACUUUUAUUAUAUGAGGGCUCUCAGUCCUUCAGGGCUCCAGGAGCUUGGAAGACAAGCUGUUUUCCUCCAGCAAUUCCAUCAAUAAGAAGAAAAUGGGAAAUGAGUACUGAUUUAUGGCUGAUUCUUCAUAACAAAUAGCUCCAAAAUGGAUCCUACUCAGAAGCAUGAAUUAUUUGAUGAAAAUCUCAGUGUCAACGUGUGCAGGAUGUUUCCUUGGUCAAGGGUGCCAGAGGGGUUCAGAAAACAGCAUGGGUCAUUGCCUUUGCUCUUGGUUGCCUACUGAAACUAGAUAGUAAAACCAUAUUACUGAGGACACAACACACUUUGACUCCAGGACAUACUGAAAUCAAGCUGGAAUUGACCUGAAAACUUCCUCCCUGAUGGCUAGCUUAACAGUGUUAGAAGGCACAAAGCAGGCUUCUGGGGGAGAAGAGUCACCAACAGUCUUUCUGUAUGCUGAAUCCUGAACUCUGGAAUACUAAUCUACAAGACAAGAUAUGCUCCUUAGUAAAAUAGCCACACAGAGAUUAUGGAGCAAACACUGAUCCAGUUGACAGUUGGGAAGGAAAUUUCCCAAACAGAUCAUUUCUGGCAUCCUUGGAAAGAUUUCCGAGUAGUUCUACAUGAUGGGAAGACCCUGCGUCAACAUACCUCAAGUUUAUAUCCACUGAGUGUCUUUAAUUAAAAGAAAUUCAUCUGCCAGCAGGACAAGAACACAGAGCUCAAGAGAGAGGAGUUGUGCAGGAACAACAGUGACUGGAGCAAGAAACCCUCUACACAUUGUCACCAGCAUUCUCAGAGCCUGGGAGGACCUCAGAGACCUAACCAUAAUGGAUCCAUUUACAACACAACUCAACCAAAGGCGCAGGGAACCUCAUGCAAAAGGGUAUAGAAAGAUUUAAGAGCCAGAAGAACAGUAAAUCGGCUGUAAAUUUCUGCCUUGUGGGAAUGGCAGGAAAGCUUCAUCCAAUAUACCUUAGCAACACGGCUGCCUGUGCAAGAACUUAAAGUACAACACCGAGAGACAUGCUAACAUGGAAGCAGGAAAUCUCAUGGGCCUCCUCACCUCUAAACAAAGAACUACAGACAACUAAAGAAGGUGGACAGUGGGAGAAAUAGUCUUCCCAAGGAAUUAGCUCCUCAACUAGCUAUUUGGUACUAAGGAGUCAGUCUUGAAAUCAUAUACGUACAAGGAACACUAAAUAGACAGAGCAGGUUGUAUUUGUUUAGUUAUAUGUGCAUGUGUUAAAGUGUGUGUGUUUAUAACCUUUUUAAUGUUUAAAAAAAGGAGUACUAUUUGGAAAAAAACUGACAAUAUAGGCACUUUGGAUGAAGGGCUCACUUCAGGGUCAUUUUAUCAAUGUCCAUGCUCAUUGAUAUACAGUGGAAACUGCCCAGCGGCUAACCUGAAGCACAUCCCAAAGUGCACAGAAAAGCUGGACCAAGUAGAUUUCAAGAGUUGCCAAGGCCAAAAACAGCAACAAUCCCAAACAAGGAUACCUGAGGAAACUGAGUCAGAUCUCCAUCUUUCUCACCUCUGCUUGGGGUAGCACAGUUAGAAUUGUCCUGGUUUGAUCUGAGUCAUAAUUGCUGCUAUUUGUGGGAGUUGUCAGAUGAGAGAGAUGACCCCUUCCUUUCCCAGAAAAGAAAGAUAAGGCAUUCUCUCGGUUGCGAGGAGCAGAGGUCAGCAUCAUUGGCUUUGAAUGAAAAAUUUGUAUGUUAUAUCCCAAACAGAGAAAAUAGGAAGUAUUGAUUUCAGGAUACUGUCUUAGUGUGCUGGAGAUGUUCUACAAUAUAUGAGAUAGAUUAAGC